GGGUGGGCCCGAGGGCACCCCGACCCCUCUGGAAUGUGGGCGGGGCCCCCACCAAGGAGGCGGCCACCCCGCCGGCUGCCGCAGAACGCGGGCUGCGACUGCCCAGCCCCCGCCCCACACCCAGGACGCUGCCCACACCCAGCCCUCCUGGAGAAUAAGCAGUACCCCACAAACAGCCCCAUACCGCCCGGCCACCAGACACACGACCGGUGUGUACAGCACACCCCUCAACGCUCUAAGGGUGUUUAUUGAGUGCCAUCUGUUUGCCAGGCUCUUAAGUACACAACACCCACACACACCCCCAUAAACCUGCCCCAGGCCCGCACUGGUUCCUCCACAAUCCCUGAAUCAACUGUGUGACCCUCAAAACGAAGGGUACCCCCAUUCUUGCCCUGGCCCAAGACCUCCCUUAAAACCCUAGUAUUAAAAGUCACCAUGCAGCACCCUCCAACAAACAGUGGGAGAAGUGGGCUAAGAACCACUGGCCACUAGCUCUGGGCCCUAGGCCCUCCCCUUCCCCCACCCGUGGCCACUGCAGUCUUCUGGUCUGGGUGGGAAGCAGGUGCACACAGGGGGGCGGUUCACAGCUGUCCCCUGACUUCAGCCAGGAGCCUUUUGGUUACUGUUGGAAAUACAGGCAAAGAAGGAAAUUAACUUGAGUGACAGUACUCUGUGAACUGCCACAUGCAGAAGAGAGAGAACCCAAGCUCCCCUGUCCCCAGAGGUGCUGCUGCCUGUCACCCACUUUUCAGCUGGCCCUUGGUUCUGUGUGACCCUGGAGGGACAGAUCCUGAUAUGGAUGCAUGGACAUAUUUUCUAGGCAUCUGCUUGUAUGGGGGCCCUGCAGCCUCUGGGGUGGGCAGAUGCUACGUGACUUGGAUUGCCACACGCAGGGGUGUGAGUCCCUAUAGCUGCCCCAGGUUGAGGGUGUGGAGGAGAGGACUGGAUCUCCACUUGACUUCCUCCGUUGUUGACACAGAGAAACCACCAGCCCCAGGCAGAAGCCACUCUGUGUCCUUUGGGUUUACAGGGAACCUGUGUACAGGUGAUGCCCUGCUUUGGGGCCACAAGGUGGGGAGUGGGGCCCAGAGUACAGUGAAUGGCUAUGGUGGGGACCUGUUCCUUUGGCCCCUAGAGGAUGGGGGUUAUUGCUAAGCAUCUCUGAGGCCAUAGAGGUGGGCAGUCUAUACCCACCCCCUUACCCGGUUUUAGAAACAGUGUGCGUGUCCUGAGCACCCCCAGGUAAGGCACCUAGGCCAGCUGCAGGGUGUUCUUGGCUGCUGCAGGGACUCUGGCAUUUCCCAGACAUCUCAGGUGGCAUGCCCACAAAUACAGGUCACUGUACAUCCUGCCAGGUGUGCUCACUUUCUGCCCUUCCCACUGUCCAUCCCUCAGUGGCAGGGGUCACUUUCUUGGCCUCUGCAUUGUAUGGAGUACAGAAAGACUGAGCAGGUGUGGUCUUGAGAGCAGGCAUGGGGCCUUCUGUCCUGACCACCAUCACUGUGUGACCAUGUAUCCUCUGGAUCUCAUAUGCAACCUGUCAUGUAUGCAUGCAGUUGGCAGCAAUAGGGGACUGCAGUCAACUUUCAUGCCCAGGGCACUUCUUGGUGCCCAGUGCAUGGUGGCUGUGUGACUUUGUGCCCAGUGAGUGCAUAUGUGUGUGUGUGGUGUGUCACAGGAUAUGUGUGCUAAGGCCCAGCCUUGGGGCUGCUGGGAUGGCCUGCUCUGGCCUGGGCUGACCAGGAGCAGAUGUGGCCUAACAGCCUGUACAUUCCUGGGCUGUGACUCAGUCCUGUGGGGAGGGGGUGAGUCACUGGCAGCUUAGGCCCAGCCCCAGUCUGGGCCCUGCACCCCAUCCUGGAUGUAGACCCCCUCCUAGGAACAAGGUGCAGCCCCCCUCUGGCAUUUCUGUGUUGCAGACCUCUGAACCUUAGGCACUGGGGAAGAGAGACCCCCUUGGUACAG
rnacentral:lncRNA from 1 species